UCAUCUCCUGAUGAGAAGUUGAAAGGCGGCUUUUGCUGUCACUUACAGAUGGGCCUGCGGCGCAUUAGCUAGUUGGUAAGGUAACGGCUUACCAAGGCGACGAUGCGUAGCCGACCUGAGAGGGUGAUCGGCCACACUGGGACUGAGACACGGCCCAGACUCCUACGGGAGGCAGCAGUAGGGAAUCUUCCGCAAUGGACGAAAGUCUGACGGAGCAACGCCGCGUGAGUGAUGAAGGUUUUCGGAUCGUAAAACUCUGUUGUUAGGGAAGAACAAGUGCCAUAGUAACCGAUGGCACCUUGACGGUACCUAACCAGAAAGCCACGGCUAACUACGUGCCAGCAGCCGCGGUAAUACGUAGGUGGCAAGCGUUGUCCGGAAUUAUUGGGCGUAAAGCGCUCGCAGGCGGUUCUUUAAGUCUGAUGUGAAAUCUUACGGCUCAACCGUAAACGUGCAUUGGAAACUGGAGGAACUUGAGUGCAGAAGAG
rnacentral:rRNA from 1 species